rnacentral:sRNA from 1 species
GAAACUGUAAAUUGGGACUUAUCAGGCCCCAUGUUACGAGCUUCCGG